rnacentral:rRNA from 1 species
UUGAACGCUGGCGGCAUGCCUAACACAUGCAAGUCGAACGCCCCGCAAGGGGAGUGGCGGACGGGUGAGUAACGCGUGGGAACCUGCACUUCAGUGGGGGAUAACGACGGGAAACUGUCGCUAAUACCGCAUACGCCCUACGGGGGAAAGAUUUAUCGCUGAAGGAUGGGCCCGCGUCGGAUUAGCUAGUUGGUGAGGUAACGGCUCACCAAGGCGACGAUCCGUAGCUGGUCUAAGAGGAUGAUCAGCCACACUGGGACUGAGACACGGCCCAGACUCCUACGGGAGGCAGCAGUGGGGAAUAUUGGACAAUGGGCGCAAGCCUGAUCCAGCCAUGCCGCGUGGAUGAUGAAGGCCUUAGGGUUGUAAAGUCCUUUUAACGGGGAAGAUAAUGACGGUACCCGUAGAAUAAGCCCCGGCUAACUUCGU